AUUGAACGCUGGCGGAAUGCUUUACACAUGCAAGUCGAGCGGCAGCACGGGGGCAACCCUGGUGGCGAGUGGCGAACGGGUGAGUAAUGUAUCGGAACGUGCCCAGUCGUGGGGGAUAACGUAGUGAAAAUUACGCUAAUACCGCAUACGAUCUACGGAUGAAAGCGGGGGAUCGCAAGACCUCGCGCGAUUGGAGCGGCCGAUAUCAGAUUAGGUAGUUGGUGGGGUAAAGGCUCACCAAGCCAACGAUCUGUAGCUGGUCUGAGAGGACGACCAGCCACACUGGAACUGGGACACUGUCCAGACUCCUACGGGAGGCAGCAGUGGGGAAUUUUGGACAAUGGGCGAAAGCCUGAUCCAGCCAUUCCGCGUGCAGGAUGAAGGCCUUCGGGUUGUAAACUGCUUUUGUACGGAGCGAAAAGGCUCUCUCUAAUACAGGGGGCUCAUGACGGUACCGUAAGAAUAAGCACCGGCUAACUACGUGCCAGCCGCCGCGGUAA
rnacentral:rRNA from 1 species